GGCUGCGGCGACUCGCGAAGGGAGAACCAAAACAAACAUGGCUCGGCGUGGUGCGGCGGUCGAGCCUCCCCAGGAAGAACAAAAUGCUCUCAGCUACAUGCAGCCGGAGAUUCUGCCCAUACAAAUCAUGAUCGAUGUGCUUAAAGAGCGAGGAAUGAAAGCAGCUUCACUCCAAGGGACAGACAGAGGUCACAUUAUAUGCCUCUUCCACAAACAUGUUUGCCCCAAACAUCGACGGGAUUACCGAGAGAACAGGAGGGGGAAGAUAAUGAUGGCACAGAGAAGUAAAAGAGAAAAAGGCUCUGUUGAUGAAAAUUGGAAAAAAAUGGUUAUGGAUUCCAAAGAAAGAUCACUGUCAUCAUCAAAUGCUUCUGACUAUGCCAGUGCCGAGCGCCUCAAGCCUCCUCCAUCGUGCAUUAACACAGAAAGAAAGACUAUUAAGUUAGGUGGUUCCAACAAGACUUCUGCAUCUAACAUGGACUUUAUUGUGGUUAAGAGAAGAAGUUCAGAAGAUAGUGACCAUGGACCAGAAAAGUUGAGAAAAUUGUCAGGAGAUAGAGACUCGGAGCAGAAUAAAAGAAAAGAUAAUGAGCCUCAUGAAAAUUCCAAAAAGAUGAGAAAAGAUACAGAGGAUGAGAAUGAUAAGACAUGGAAAUAAUGAUUUAACCCAUUGGAUCUGGGUGCUUUGCUGCCAGCACGCGGCCCAAAAUCCAGGCUUUAGGCUUACUUGAUUGGCAACUCUCCCGGAUGUGUGGUUUAUAGGCUGGACCUCACAGGAGAAUGGGAAGAAAAUGAAACAUGACAGAAAACCCAUCACAUGGCCGUGAUUUUGUCAUUGGUAUUUAUUAUAAGAGAAUGCAUUGAUAUAAGGCAGCAAGUAGGAAAUGGAAACGACUGACAAGAGAAAAUGUUUAGCCAGCUCUUUAGUAUGGUGAAGGAAAUAAAUGCUGAUAACACAAUUUAUAGAGUGGAACAUAGAGUCUGCAUCUGCUAAGAAGUGCUUUGGGGGGAAAUUCAGUGAUUGUGUAUAUAUACACCAAAGCUUAGAAGAAUAUUCUUUACUGCUUAAACUUGUAUAAGUAAGGAACUCAUGCAUAGAAACAUUUCUCUAAUAGCCAAAAAGCAAAUAUUUGUAUAGUAUGUCCAUGAUACUCUUUGAAUAUAGAACCCUACUUACAGGCUAGUGGUGGAAAAUAUUUUUGGGUUCUUUAUAGUAUACCUGUAAUGCGGUUACUCUUUAUUUUAUUUUUAAGAAUUGAUUUAGACAUGAAUUACACAGCACUAAUGGCUUAUAUAAAUGAACUAAUUGAUGAUUGCAUUCUUGCUAUUGGACAACAGGGAUAAUAGAACUGUAACUGUGCACCUACAACCCACUCAUGUGAUAUGUAGAAUAAAAACUUUGGAAUGAU